rnacentral:rRNA from 1 species
AGAGUUUGAUCAUGGCUCAGGACGAACGCUGGCGGCGUGCUUAACGCAUGCAAGUCGAACGGAAAGGCCCUUCGGGGUACUCGAGUGGCGAACGGGUGAGUAACACGUGGGUGAUCUGCCCUGCACUUUGGGAUAAGCCUGGGAAACUGGGUCUAAUACCGAAUAUGACCACGCUCUUCAUGGGGUGUGGUGGAAAGCUUUUGCGGUGUGGGAUGGGCCCGCGGCCUAUCAGCUUGUUGGUGGGGUAAUGGCCUACCAAGGCGACGACGGGUAGCCGGCCUGAGAGGGUGACCGGCCACACUGGGACUGAGAUACGGCCCAGACUCCUACGGGAGGCAGCAGUGGGGAAUAUUGCACAAUGGGCGCAAGCCUGAUGCAGCGACGCCGCGUGAGGGAUGACGGCCUUCGGGUUGUAAACCUCUUUCACCAGGGACGAAGCGCAAGUGACGGUACCUGGAGAAGAAGCACCGGCCAACUACGUGCCAGCAGCCGCGGUAAUACGUAGGGUGCGAGCGUUGUCCGGAAUUACUGGGCGUAAAGAGCUCGUAGGUGGUUUGUCGCGUUGUUCGUGAAAACUCACAGCUUAACUGUGGGCGUGCGGGCGAUACGGGCAGACUAGAGUACUGCAGGGGAGACUGGAAUUCCUGGUGUAGCGGUGGAAUGCGCAGAUAUCAGGAGGAACACCGGUGGCGAAGGCGGGUCUCUGGGCAGUAACUGACGCUGAGGAGCGAAAGCGUGGGGAGCGAACAGGAUUAGAUACCCUGGUAGUCCAA